CCAUCUUUUGUGUGGAGGUUCCGGAUGCUGCCGCUGUUCCCAGCGCUGCUCCUCAGGUCCUGGUGUUGGAUUGUCCGUCCCUGAAGGAGCUGUGACAGAGUUUGAAGGAGGGCGCCCUAUGAAUAGGAAGAGGAAUCCCACCUGGGAGAAGAUCACUGUGGCCUGAACCCUCUCAGGACUGCUUCAGAGCAGAGCUAAUGUGUUGAGAGUUUUGGUCAGGAGAAUCUGUGGUCGAGCCACAGCAGUUCUCUCCUUAAUCCACUCCAUUCCCUCUUCUCCCAGCUAAGCUGCCAUUUCCAAGAGCAAGAAAAGGUGGAUAAAUCUCUGGCUCCACACACCCUUUCCGCCUUGGCUCCCAUCCCCAUCCCCCAUUCACUCCGCCCAUCACUCUCUUGCAGUGGUCAGAGGACAAAGCACUGUUUAAUUCCCAGGUCCUCCCAUGGAAUGAAUUCAGGCAGAAUUCAGAAGAAAUCACCCUCCAGAGAAGAGCAGAAAAGAGCAAAGGAUGGACAGUGCUGAGGGUCAAAUGUGUCCCUCAAAAGUUCAUGUAUUGGAAACUUGAUCUUCAUUGUAACAGUGUUAAGAGGUUGGGAAAUCUUAUUACAAUAACUGAAAGGUGGGGCCUUUAAGAGGUGAGUAGGUUGUUAGGACUGUGUCCUUGUGAAUGGGUUGAUCCAUUCAUGGAGUAAUGAGUGUGGUUCUGAAGGCUUUGUAAGGAGAGUGAGUAAGAAGGUUCUCUCUCUUGCUCAGCCAUUCACGCCACGUUACACCCUGCACUUCUGUAGAGAGCCACCACCAAGAACAAAGACCUGACCAGAUGUGUCCCCAGGAUUUUGGACUUCCCAGCCUACAAAACUGUGAGAUAAGAAAUAAAUUUUAUUUCUUCAUAAAUUA